UUCAACUCAAGGUGCAAAUCUCAUUCAUUUUUCACAAUGACACACCACUUCUUAAUUCUCAUCAUACUGGCUUCCUUCUCUAGAGGUGGCCUCUCCCAGGUAACUCUGACCCAGUCAGAUGCAGUGGU